GAUGAAGAACGUAGCGAAAUGCGAAAAGUAAUGUGAAUUGCAGAAUUCAGUGAAUCAUCGAAUCUUUGAACGCACAUUGCGCCCACUGGUACUCCGGCGGGCACGCCUGUCCGAGCGUCAUUUCAACCCUCAAGCCCUCCUUCGGGAUGGGCCUGGUGUUGGGGCUCGGCCGCCAUCUCCGGCGGCCGUCCCCUAAAUACAGUGGCGGUCACGUCGCGACUCCUUUGCGUAGUAGAAACACCUCGCUCCGGAUAGCAACGCGGUCCACGCCGUAAAACCCCCAAUUUUCAAUGGUUGACCUCGGAUCAGGUGGGAAUACCCGCUGAACUUAAGCAUAUCAAUAAGCGGAGGA
rnacentral:misc_RNA from 1 species